rnacentral:rRNA from 1 species
UGCCUACGGGUGGCUGCAGUGGGGAAUAUUGGACAAUGGGCGCAAGCCUGAUCCAGCCAUGCCGCGUGGGUGAUGAAGGCCCUAGGGUUGUAAAGCCCUUUCGGCGGGGAAGAUAAUGACGGUACCCGCAGAAGAAGCCCCGGCUAACUUCGUGCCAGCAGCCGCGGUAAUACGAAGGGGGCUAGCGUUGCUCGGAAUCACUGGGCGUAAAGCGCACGUAGGCGGCUUUUUAAGUCAGGGGUGAAAUCCUGGAGCUCAACUCCAGAACUGCCCUUGAUACUGAGGAGCUCGAGUCCGGGAGAGGUGAGUGGAACUGCGAGUGUAGAGGUGAAAUUCGUAGAUAUUCGCAAGAACACCAGUGGCGAAGGCGGCUCACUGGCCCGGUACUGACGCUGAGGUGCGAAAGCGUGGGGAGCAAACGGGAUUAGAUACCCGGGUAGUCCC